UCAGAACGAACGCUGGCGGCAGGCUUAACACAUGCAAGUCGAACGCACCUUUCGGGGUGAGUGGCAGACGGGUGAGUAACGCGUGGGAAUCUACCCUUCUCUACGGGAUAGCUCCGGGAAACUGGAAUUAAUACCGUAUACGUCCUGAGGGAGAAAGAUUAUCGGGGAAGGAUGAGCCCGCGUUGGAUUAGCUAGUUGGUGGGGUAAAGGCCUACCAAGGCGACGAUCCAUAGCUGGUCUAAGAGGAUGAUCAGCCACAUUGGGACUGAGACACGGCCCAAACUCCUACGGGAGGCAGCAGUGGGGAAUAUUGGACAAUGGGCGCAAGCCUGAUCCAGCCAUGCCGCGUGAGUGAUGAAGGCCCUAGGGUUGUAAAGCUCUUUCAGUGGGGACGAUAAUGACGGUACCCACAGAAGAAGCCCCGGCUAACUUCGUGCCAGCAGCCGCGGUAAUACGAAGGGGGCUAGCGUUGUUCGGAGUUACUGGGCGUAAAGCGCACGUAGGCGGAUAUUUAAGUCAGGGGUGAAAUCCCGGGGCUCAACCCCGGAACUGCCUUUGAUACUGGGUAUCUUGAGUUCGGAAGAGGUAAGUGGAAUUGCGAGUGUAGAGGUGAAAUUCGUAGAUAUUCGCAGGAACACCAGUGGCGAAGGCGGCUUACUGGUCCGAUACUGACGCUGAGGUGCGAAAGCGUGGGGAGCAAACAGGAUU
rnacentral:rRNA from 2 species